AAGACGCUCGGACGCGCUGACACCCCACCUGAAAUGGGCACUUAGGGCGGGGUUGAGCGACUAGUGCAACCGACCGACGAAUC
rnacentral:ncRNA from 2 species